UAGUGUUUCAACCUAGGGAUGAGAAUUUGUUUAAUUUGAUGUUCCGACCUGGGUGCACCAAAACAAGAAUUUAACAUGAUCCAUAAUGAAAUAGUUGUUCUCAUCCCUAGGUCGGAACACCGAAUUAUUGUCUGCCUUUCAAAUGGUCCACACACAUGCAAGCCAUAUCUCCCAUAGAUAAAUUAUAACUUUCCCACCCUUACACUUUUGUUAGAAUUUUAUUAAUGAUGACAAGGUUCCGAAAAGCUAUCCUCUCCUGAUAUUUCCAUCAAUAUAUUCAAAUGUAGUUUGGCCCCAUCUGUAGUUAAGCACUAGUUGGUUCGUCCAACUAAGUUUGAUUCACAUUGACUCCAACCAAAAAAGCUUUGUGGAAGAUCACUUUUAAACCAUGUCAUCUCAAAAAGAAGUACACUCGCUUUGAGAGCUCUAAUGUUCGCCCAAGACUUCUCUUCCUCCAAACUCAUAUCAUCAACAAAUUGCUUGUGUUAAUUUGAACUCAUCAUUAUUUUCAACCUGAACUUUAUCAAUACACGUCAAAAGUAGAGAAUAGAUACAUUCAACAAUAAGCAAAAAUAAAAUAAAAAAUGUUAGAGGGAUCACCUUACCUCAACCCCCACCCCAUUUUAUAUUCUUUUUUUAGGUUUCCAUUAACAAGAAUUGUAACAUUGAUUGUGCCAAAACACUCCAUGAUUCAUCAUCUCCAUUUAUAAGAAAAUAAAAAAUAAAAAUCCCAUUUUCGUCACCACAAAGUCUACAUAUGGGAUACAUAGAGCAAAAAUUUAUAUAUAUCGCCCUUGAAGUGGUAUAAUAACUCACAAACACUAAAUACACUCCAUAUGUUUUUUUUUUACAAGACCCUAUAAUAACUAGUUAUAAUUAUAAAUUUGUAAAAAUAGUUUAACUUUCAUGUCUUGUUUACAAAUCACAACCAAUCAUGACGACCUUAAAAAGCGGUUAUAAUAAAAGUCAAAACGUUCUCUAAAAAAAAAAAAAAGUCAAAAUAUUUUUUAGUGAUCUAACCAUUGUGUGAAUUACAAGUGUAAAAAUUCUUACACAAGAAUGAAAUCUUCGUGAAAUAUGUUACUUUUCCAUAAUCACCUCUACAAUUAAUUAUAUCAUAUUCAUAGGAAAUAAAUUAACGUUUUUCAAUUGUAAAUUAUAUAUGAAUAUUAUUGUAAAGAAAUUAUUAAUACAUUUAAAAGUUUUGUAAAAAAUAUUUUUGUAAAGAGACAGAAAUAUGAAAAGAUGGUCUUAUAAUUAUUGAGUGAGGAAGUGGUCUUUCUAAACAUAAUUAAUUGUCUAACAAAGGAAAUCAACUAGAAUAUAUAUUCACCAAAAAGCCAUAAUAAAAUAUGUAAUAAUUAGUUAAACAACUAAUAAUCACUUGAGAACCAAAUUCACAAGAUAAUAAUAUAAUUAUAUAUUACAUAUUCAAACUUUUUUAAUCCAUCAUUAUGUUUUAGGAUAAAAGGGUAAAGUAAUAAUAACAAUAACCACUGUUGUUAUAAAUCACUUGACGAAUUGCCAGUUUUCUAUAACCGGAACAGAUAAUAAUAAUAUUUAGAUGAUCAAGAUAAAUUAUAUACAUAGCAAUAUUAAGUAAUGAUAUUAAAGUGAAGAGUAUAGAUAACAUACCAAGUAGUAGUAUGAACUUUCGAUAGAAAUGAUCGUGUUGAUAACAUGUUAAAGAUUUAGAUAUUUAAAUACUUAUUUAUGAUGUUAGUGAACUAAUAAGAUGAUAUAAAAUACUACUUCAAUUUAUAAUACUUCAAAUAAUAUAUAACACUAUGAUUUAUCAAACUAAGGAAAUCAAGAGAGAAGGAAGUAUGAUGAUAUGUUUUUAUUUCUCAAAAAUGAUGUAUUUUUACAUGAAUCAAAGUGUGGUAUUUAUACUACUAAAUUUACCACUAUUACAUAUAUGAAAUUAUUUGUUUUACCACUAAUAAGUAAUUCACACUUACUAUUGUAAGUUGACAUUUUGGAUGUAUAUUUCAACCUAAAUAGUAAGAUAUAAUUAUAGGAUAAUUUCAUGAUUUUGGAUAUAUUUUUUUUUUAUAAUAAAAAUAAUAUUUCUUUUUUUUUGAAAACAUCAAAAUGGAAUUUAUAAACAUAGGCAGUGGAACCAUUUCAGCACAAGAUGUAUUGGAAGGCAACCCCUUAAAAAGAAUAGUAAAACAAUAUUUACAAAAUUACAGUCAGUCGAUACCCAGACAUAACAUAGGGUCCGACCACCACAUCUGAGUGCCAUGCACAAACAAGGCAUUAUUAGCCUGUAACCACCAUAAAGAAUGGAAUUUAAUCUUUUCAAAUAAUAUUUCUUAUAACCAGUUUUUAUAGAUAAACAUUUUACCUUCUUCAAACCCUUAGUCAAGCUCCGUCUAUGUCGCGUCAUCACUAUGAAGUUUAUCGGAAUGCUUUCCUCUUUCAAUGUCAUGUUACUAAAAUGCCAAGAACCGAAGUUUUGAUGGCAAUCGACCAUAGAGCAGCUAGAUCUAGGAUUUGCUACUCUAACCAAAAACUUACUGAACCUACUGAUUUGUUCGAGUAAGCUUUCAUGUUUUUCAUUUUUUUUUUAUCAAAUUAGCUUAGAUCUUUGGACCGACCUGAUUCUCAAUGGAUAUUCAUUUUAUACUUUAUUUGUUUGCUAUUACACCACUUUAUAACAUUUUUAAGAUCUAAAAUAUUAAAUGUUUCAAUAUGAAAUCCCAUUUUCUUCACCACAAAGUCUAUAUAUGAGAUACAUAGAGCAAAAGUUUAUAUAUAUCGCUCCUCAAAGUGGUGUAAUAACUCACAAACACUAAAUACAUUCCAUAUGUUUUUUUUUUAUUAUUACAAGACCCUAUAAUAACUAGUUAUAAUUAUAAAUUUGUAAAAAUAGUUUAACUUUCAUGUAUUGUUUACAAAUCACAACCAAUCAUCUAUGACCUUAAAAAACGGUUAUAAUAAAAGUCAAAAUAUUUUAUAGUCAUCUAACCAUUGUGUUCAAUUACGAGUGUAAAAGUUCUUUACACAAGACAAUGUUUAAGAAUGAAAUCUUCGUGAAAUAUGUUACUUUUCCAUAAUCACCUCUACAAUUCAUUAUAUCAUAUUCAUAGAAAAUAAAUUAACGUUUUUCAAUUGUAAGUUAUAUAUGAAUAUUAUUGUAAAGAAAUUAUUAAUACAUUUAAAAGUUUUGUAAAAAAUAUUUUUGUAAAGAGACAAAGAAAUAUGAAAAGAUGGUCUUAUAAUUAUUGAGUGAGGAAGUAGUCUUUUCUAAACAGAAUUAAUUGUCUAACAAAGGAAAUCAACUAGAGUAUUUAUUCACCAAAAAACCAUAAUAAAAUAUGUAAUAAUUAGUUAAACAACUAAUAAUCACUUGAGAACCAAAUUCACAUGACAAUAAUAUAAUUAUAUAUAUUACAUAUUCAAUCUUUUUUAAUCCUUCAAUAUGUGUUAGAAUAAGGGGUAAAGUAAUAAUAACAAUAAUAGCCACUCUAGUAUAUGAUAAUUCAAUAUGAUAUUCAUUUAUUUAUACUCUUAUUUUAAUUCUUCUUUUCCAUACCAUUUAUUAAUUUUGUCAAACAUCUAAUUAUAUCUAUUUCUUCACUUAUUUUUAUCUUUUUUCUGAUGCAGAUUGACCGUAAUUCUGUUAAAGGUUUGGUCAUUGGGAUGCCGGGUGGAUAUCCAUCUCUUUUACGUACGUCAACGAGGAUGAAUCCACUAUUCUAGCCGAAACUUGGAUUGAGGAAAUGACAAUGAAAGGGGAGCUCCUACGUCAACGGUGGCAGCCAAGGUUUUUCUCGCGGUUAGUGGAAAAAUUACAGAGUAUUGGUUGUAUCUCCGAAUAAACAUACAUCACUAAUCAUCAUUGAUUUUUUAUUUUUUUUUAAAAGAAACAUAUAGUAUAUUCUUUAAUGAUGCAUGUUUUAAGAUGUAACAUAUUGAAUGUGUAUGGGAUAAUUGACUUGUGGGUUGAUGUAUCAAAACCUGAAUUGUUUAAAAGGCGGUUCUUGUUUCUUCCUUAUAGUACAAUAUCCCGUUUUAUAAACUUAACAAUUGAACUACUUUAUAAAUAUGAAAUAUCAUACAAAAUAUAUUUGAUUAAUAUUUAUUUUUCAAUUAAGAUAACACUGGUAAAAUUAUGAGGAAAACUAUAAGUUUUAAUCUAUAAACUAUAUGAAUUAGUUUACAUGAAUUAGUUUAUAAAUAAUUAUUAUAAGCUAGUAAAAAUAAAAUAUAAACUCAUGAAAAAAUGAUUGUUACUAAACAUAUCCUUUUAAUUGGAUGAUUUUAUAAGCUAUAAGCUAAUUUAACAUGCUUGUGAAAUAAAACCUAGCCUUUGAAAAUUUUAACAAACAAGAUCUAUUUAUACUUAGUUUAGAUCGAUCAAACCUUGAAAAGUAUGAUCCAAUAAUUCAAUAAUUCACAAGUCAUUGGUGAUCAAAUGAUCAAUAAAAAGUUUGAAAUUUUUGAAUGUUGUGAUAAGUUUAAAAAAAUUAUUGGAGCAAAUAAGAGAAUAUAUAUAAUAAAACGCAGUUCUGCAUGUUCAAAUUAACGAGGACUAUUGUAAUUUUUGUAUUGCAAAAUUUCGAUGAAAAAAAUCAUAAAUUCGAACACUUAUAAUAUAAAAAAAUGUAAUUAUUGAGGUUAACUGUCCUACUAUUAUAUAGCACAUAAAAUUGAAUUUCUUAUUAGUGAUAUUUUAUUUAUUUAUUUUGUUAAGAAUAAGAACCAUGUUUAAGAAAUUUAAACAUUAUUUUUUUUUAUCGAAGGAAAGUUAAGCCCUAAGAAUUCACGAAAAUGAAGGUAGAUUUCAAGGCUCAAAUAGUAUUAAAAAAAAAAAAAUUUACCUAUCAAAGAAGUUCUCACAUAUAUAGCAAGAGUUAAUCUUACAUCUUUGUGAAGCAUGAAUCAACACCUUAUUGAUUGGUUCAACCUCCACUGGUGAAAUUUAAUUCUUCUUUGAUUUUAUUAAAUAAGUUCUAAUGAAUUAAAUAUGUUUUAUAUUUUUUCCAAAGUCAUAUGAAUUAACAGAUACCAUCAAAGCACAAGGCGUAUAUUUCUUAAUAUAAAAAAAGUUACCACUCAAAAGUCUGUCCCAAAAACAAAGGAUCAAACACCAUCAAACAACAAGGAUGGUAGCAAAACAAAGCAUAGUUAACAAGACAACAACAAUAAAAACAAAGCCUCAAAACACCUCAAAGGUUACCAUAUAAGUUGUCAAGACACUCUGCUGGAUGAUCACACAAUUGGUUUAAAUUGAAACAAAAAUCUAUCCAGGUGCUUCAACCACCACCGAAACAAGAAUUUAACAUGAUCCAUAAAUAAUGCAACAUUUUUUCUCAUUCCUAGGUCAGAACACCAAAUUAUUGUGUGUCUUUCAAACACAUCAAGCCAUCUUUCAUAUAUAAAUUUUGACCUUUCCACCCUUACAAUUUUGCUAGAAUUUUAUUAAUAACUAGGUUCCAAAAAGCUAUCCUCUCCUGAUAUUUCCAUCCAUAUAUUCAAAUGUAGCUUGGCCACAUUUGCCCUUAAGCACUUGUUGCUUCGUCCAACCAAGUUUCAUUCACAUUGACUCCAACUAAAAAAACAUUUAUGGAAGAUCACUUUUAAAGCAUGUCAUCUCAAAAAAAGCUCUAAUAUUUGCCUAUGACUUCUCUUCCUUCAAACUCAUAUCAUCAACAUAUUGGGUAUGUAUUAAUUUGAACUCAUCAUUAUUUCCAACCUGAACUUUAUCAAUACAUGUCAUAAGUAGAAAAUUGAGACCUUCAACAAUAAGAAAAAAUAAAAAAGGUAAAAAGGAAUCACCUUACCCCAGCCCCCAACUCGUUUUAACAAAAAUUGUAAUAUUGAUUGUGUCAAAACACUCCAUAAUUCAUCAUCUCCCAAAUCUAUAUAUAUAUAUAGUUCUCAAAAAGGGUCUGUAAGACUCGACUCGUAAUCUCGUACGAGUUAUGGAAAAUUAAAAAUGAUAUUAAAAUUUCUAUAUGUGACACAUAAAUGACAAAUAUAUAUAUAUAUAUAUAUAUAUAUAUAUAUAUAUAUAUAUAUAUAUAUAUAACAAAAAAUCUCUAUAAUAGAUUUUUUGUAAAAGUAAGUUUGUAAGUAAGUAGGUAAGGUUCUAGUUCCUUCCCAAUUGGCUACUACAUUAAAUAAAAAAAAAACAUAAAACAUAUAUGAUAAUGUCUUCAAACAUCUAAAGCUCCAAUGUAAUCUUGUCAAUAAUCAAAAUCACCACCACCAUCGUCAUCAUCAUGGUCGCCAUAUCAUAUCAUCUUCACUAGCAUCAUGACCAUCAUUGUCAACAUCAUCAUCAAAUUCUACCCCGGACGAAACACAUUGAACAAGGAAACGGUUACAUGAAAAGGAAGUAAGUGAACGUCGUCGAUGAAAACAAAAAAGCAAGUGAUUUAUGAAAUACAAACUUGAGAGAACGUCGAUGGUGAAGUGUUCGCCGACUAUAGAGGUGAGAUUGGACAUCGUCGUUGAGAGAGAGUAGAUUUUCGUUUCUAAAUUGAGUGUGAGAGAAAGUAACCUUUCGUUUCUAGGGUUAUAAGAUUCUACGUUUUUUCUAUUCACAUUUUUUGUUUGAUUUGAAAUUUGGGACGUAUUUUGGACUUUUUAAAAGAAAAAAUUGCUUUUUUAAAAAAGUUCAUGGGCUCGAUAAAAUCGUCCUAGACUCACGAGUCUAUGUGAGUUGGUACGAGUCUACAUGCGUCUACCACAAAAGCGAUUCUAUGUGCGAGUCUACUUGUUUUUAUCAGAUAGACUCGUAAACUCGUAUAAACUCGCGAGUCUACUCGGAAGUUGACUACCAUGUUUAUAAGAACUCAUAAACACUAAAUAUACUCCAUGUUUUUUUUUACAAAACCCUAUAAUAACUAGUUAUAACUAUAAAUUUGUAAAAAGUAAAAAUAGUUUAACUUUCAUGUAUUGUUUACACAUCACAACCAAUCGUGCAGGUGAGUUUAGAAAACGUUUAUAAUAAAGUCAAUUGUUCCUGUCAUCUGACCAUCUUGUUGAAUUAAUUUUGUAAAAAAUAUUUAUCGACAAUGUAUAAGAAUGAAGUCUUUGUAAAAUGGUUUUUUUUAGAAUACCUUUGAAAAAUGGUGGGUAAUUUACCCACCAACCAAUGAAAAUGAGCAAUUUACGCACCAUAAAAUAUGUUACUUUUCCAUAAUCACCUCUACAAUUAAUUAUAUCAUAUUCAUAUGAAUUAAAUUAACGUUUUUCAAUUGUAAGUUAAAUAUGAAUAUUUUUGUAAAGAAAUUGUUAAUACAUUUUUUUUGUAAAGAAAUUGUCAAUACAUUUAAAAUUUUGUAAAAAGUAUCUUGUAAAGAGACAAAGAAAUAUGAAAGGAUGGUCUUACAAUUAUUGACCGAGGAAGUAGUCUUUCUCAACAUAAUUAACUGUCUAGCAAAGGAAAUCAAUUAGUGUAUAAAUUCACCAAAAAACCAUAUUACGAUAUUUAAGAAUUAGCUAAACAGCUAAUAAUCACUUGAGAACUACACCAUAAAAAAAUUACUUGAAACCAAAUUCACUAUAAUUUUAUAUUAUAUAUUCAAACUUUUUUUAAUCCAUCAACAUGUGUUGGGUCUAGUAGAAAUGUUUAUUUUUUACAAGACGUAGUAGAAAUGUUAUGCUGCCACAACAUUGCGAAUCAAAGUUCAAACUUAGGAUGGAAAAAUUGAAAUCUAUCCCCAAGAAGAUCGACACAACCAAAUUAUUACAAGAGCAUUAAUGUUAUAUAAUGCGACAUGCACUCCAACAAAAUUUGGCGAAGUAAGAAACCACUUACUAUAUACAUGGCUAAGGUGGUAAUAAAGAAAAUAGGUGAAGAAUAAAAAUGGUAUUCACUCAAAUACUAACCACUAAUUUACAUGCUUAGUCGUUUUUCGUCGGCACAUUUUUGCAGCACAAAGCAAUUUCCUUAUUACAAUAAGAAAUACACCACUCAACCUGAUCCACUAUAUGAGAAUAAGAAUAACACAUUUAAUAUUACAUUCGUACUAUAAACAACUCAUGUCUCUUAUUUAAGAACUGUCUAGUGUAGAAGUAAUUUAAUUGACAUAUGUACUACAUUAUGUCAACAUAAUGUCAUGCAAACCAUCAUAUUGUCAAUUCUUUAUCCA
rnacentral:lncRNA from 1 species